rnacentral:lncRNA from 1 species
GACGUUGUUCCUUUGCCUCCAGAGAUUAUCAAAACCAUACUUAAUACUUAAUUAUAGCAGUUUUUUUCUCUUCUAAGAAUAUAAAAAUAUUUCACUAAAAGUAAGAAAAUAGUACUAUAGUUUUACACCUUUACAAUUAGAAAAAUAGUCAUAACACACAAAAAAACAUGAAAACAGUAAACAUUAACUGCAAUUUUCAAUCCAUUAUUGGGAGAUAGACCGAAAUCGACGGUUGAGAAGAUAAAGCGGAGUUAUGGAAAUAAGAAGAUAUUAUUCUAGAAGAUACUAUUUGAUUUAGAUGAAACGAUGGCAAUUUUAUUUUUUUUCCUAGAUGAAUACAAAAAUAAAAAGGCGAAAGCAAACUGUAACCACGAAUUAAUUUGCAAAAUACUUUUAGCUCUAGAAGCUUUUCACAUGAGACCCGAACCAAACUGUCAACGGUAAACCAGCUAGCUCGCAUUUUCUCGCCACAAAAUGUCAGAGCGACUCUUUUCUCAAAUCCAUGAGCUUUCUUUGGAAGAAACCUCACACGUACUCUCACGUACACCAGUUAUAUCAACAAUGUGUGCUCCUUCUAAACUAUCAAGUUCAAUUCUGAAGCCGGCUAGCGCAAAGAAAUAUAAAAGACAAAACAGCAUCACACCGGGAACCAUUAGCCUAACAAGCUUCACUAAAGCACAAUCUUAACGCUUUCAAGAGGUAGUAGGUACGCAAAGCAAAGUUUACUUCUACAUUGACGCAACAAACCUAGGCCUGAACCAAAUGCAACAACAACGAAACUCACUUCGACUCGAUAAAAUUGUUUUCAAAGGCCGAGCGACCGACCACAAACCCAAGGUUCGUACAAUAAGGAUUUGAGUUCACUAUACAAAUUGUCCACGUCCCUCUCCUUGGUGCCUUGGUGACAAUGUUUAGAUAUUUUAUUUAUAUAAUACUGUACCAUACAACAAAAACAAAAACUAAUAAUCACAAUUAAAAAUAGAAACAAACACAAAAUAUGUAUAUGUCAUUAUCUUUAUCCCCGUAGGGGCCUAGAUUAUAAUGUCUCUUUGUUUCUCUCUUUUGAAACAAUUGUAACAACAAAGAUCUUUUAAAUAAAAUCCUCUCAAAUAAUUCCCUAAUUAUUGUCUAACUUCCAUAAAAUAAAAUAAAAUAAAACAUAUCAUCAUCUCAUAACCAUCGAUAUACAAUAUAAUUUGCUUUAAAUAUAAGCCAAUACGUUAAAAUUACAAAACGAGUCAUACCCAAACCCAUAAAUUACAAUUCAUGCCAUCGUCUUUUGUAAUCUUCUUUUUGAUUCUCAUCCCCAAAAAGGCAAAAUCUNNNNNNNNNNNNNNNNNNNNNNNNNNNNNNNNNNNNNNNNNNNNNNNNNNNNNNNNNNNNNNNNNNNNNNNNNNNNNNNNNNNNNNNNNNNNNNNNNNNNUUUCUCUAUUUCUCUCUUCUUCUUCUCUCUCUCGUCGUCACUGAGUAGAUCGGAAAAUGGAGCCAUGGAUUGACGAUUUAGCCGACGAUUUACAAAGCAUAAGUUUCACAUCAGCCGGAACCACCGUGAAUCGAAGCACAAGCUCCGGUUCUCGUUCCUCCUCCUCCGCCGCAGCACUAACACCAGCACCAUCAGCUCACGGUUCAUUCUCAUCCUCGAAACUCCCUCCUUCACUCCGAUCAUCUCUCUCACUCGCCGAUCUCAGAUUCCGUCUCCGUCUCGGUUCCGGAGACAUCGGCUCUGUUUUCUUAGCCGAAUUCAAAUCCCUAACCGCCGUAACCGUAACGGAAACCGCCGCCGUUAAAUUACCUCUGUUAGCAGCGAAGGUUAUGGAUAAAAAAGAGCUCGCGAGCCGGAGCAAAGAAGGAAGAGCGAAGACGGAGAGAGAGAUACUCGAAUCUUUAGAUCAUCCGUUUCUUCCGACGCUUUACGCCGCCAUUGAUUCUCCGAAAUGGCUCUGUUUGUUGACGGAGUUUUGUCCCGGCGGUGACCUUCAUGUUCUCCGUCAGAAACAAACUUAUAAACGUUUCCAUGAAUCCGCCGUCAGGUAACAGUUUCCGUUAAGUUAUUAAAAAAAAAUAUUCAGUUUCUAAAAAUAUAAUUCAAAAUAAAAAUCUUUGGGAAGUAAUAAUUACGAAAGAAGUGAAUAAUAUUUUUUAAAAAGCUGAUGAAAUCAGGGGGAAGUGGGACUCGUCCAGCUGGCGAAUUGUCUCGUAGUUUAACACUUAACUGAAUUUAUGGUUCCGUUAAUUAAUCACUAAUUUAUAACCUUUUUAAACGGUAAUUAUAUCGUAAUUAUUAGAUAUAUAAAGUGAAAUAAAUCACAUAGACAAGAUUUAAUUUCCGUAAUUUCUUCAGUAAUUUUUGGCAGUUUUCAAUACUUAAUUAUUCAUAAUGACUUUUGUUUGUUGUUGGAAUUAUGUUUUUUUUUUUUAUAGGUUAGACUAGAAAAGUCUAUUUAGACCACACAAAAAGGGAACUAGAAAGUGUAUUUUUAAAAAUUAGAAGUAAAAAAAAAACUAUAGAGAUAAAGUGGUUAUUUAUAUAUAAUAUAUAGUUUUUUUAAACUGCAAUUAUAGACUAACUAUAUAUCAUAGGCCCGUUAAGUUUGUUACUUGUAAUAAUUAUCUUUGUGAAAAUCACACUCAACCUAAGGUUUUAUUUUCCUUAAUUUCGUCAUAAUUAUAUAACAUAAGUGGGUAAAGAUUUAUAAUAUAUAGUUUUUAAAAAAGGCAAUUAUAGACUAAUUAUAUAACUUAGACUCGUUAAGUUUGUUACUUGUAAUAAUUAUCUUUAGUGAAAAUCACACUCAAUCUGAAGUUUAAUUUUCCGUAAUUUCGUCAUAAUUAUAUGCUUUUUCACGAAUGUUUUAACGUAUAGAUUUGUUAUUAGAAUAUGGAUUAUUGAUUUGAUUUGAUGUGCUCGAUAAUGGCUUUUUUGAAUAAACUAGGAAAAGUCUAUAUACUCCACACAAAAAAGGGACUAGAAAAGUGUAUUUUUUAUUUAACCCAUAGAGUGGCUAUUUUUGUUUAUAAUAUAUAGUUUUUAUUUUUAUUUUUAUUUUGUUAUGUAAGCAGAUGUACGCACGAUUAACAAAAGUGUGUGUCUGUGUGCAUCUUACUUACAUGUGUGCGUGUAUCGUAGGGUAUCAUAAUUUAGUAGUAGUUAUAAUCUGGUGCGAUGAUGAAAAAUAAAAAAGUCAAUUCUAGUGGGGUUUGACUUUGAUCUCGUAACGAAUCAGUUAAAGACACGUGUAAGUUUUGUAGUGGAACCAGGUGAUUGAAUUAAAUCACGUAGCAUGCAUUACCAUGGAAGGAAAAAAAAAAAUAUUUUUCUUUUUUUGUUUUUUUUUUUUUUUGGGCAUGUGGUUACAACACAAGCACAUCACAUUCACAGCUAUUAAAAAUUUUAAAACCAUUGGUUAUUUUAUGAAUUUUUUUUUUUUUUUGUCAAAUGAUCUUAAUGAGUUUGGUCCUACAAUUUAAGAGUUAAAAUUAUGAAAUUUAUAUUGAAAAGUAGUUGUGGCUUUAGAAUGGUAACGAUAGUGUAGUUUUGGUUUGGUAGUAGAUGAAAGUUAUAUCAUUUAGUUAGUUGAGGUUAACCAUUUAUGUUCCAAUUUUUGUAUCACGUGAUUAAUUACUAGAAAACCGGAUCUUGUUCUUCUUCUUCUUGGUGUAUGUUAUUAGAUCUGAUUUGUUUUUUGUGUCCUUAAGUUAUCUGUCAGAUUUUGACUAGUGUAGUAGUUUACACGUUAACCAUUCUACAAGUUAACUACAAACUAAGUUCUUAUGUUAAUGAGUUCUACAAGGAUUGAGAAAUUGGGACCAGAAACUAAGUUCUUAUCGUUUUUUUUUAAGGUUGUCCUACUAAAAAACCAAGGUCCCAGCUGCAUUUUUACAUUAGAAGCUUUGCUCAAUUAGGUUCUGGUUUUACUUUAAGUGAUACAGAGAACAAUGGCUCUAUGGAAAUGGAUAUAUGAACCGGACAAGUUUAUCUUUUGUGUGAACUUGUUCUUAGAAUACAGUUUCCUUUACUCUGUUUUGUGUGGAGUGUGUUUGUUGAUUGUGGACCAGUGGAGACAAAAAGGGUCGGGUAGAGGAAUCUUGGGUAAUGUCUUAGCACCAGAAACUCACUAUUUUAGACAAAAGAGUUCGUUAAGCCAAACCAACCUUGUAGGUCCAUUUUUGUUCCUUGUGUAUAGUGACAUCAAACCCAAAACAUCAUCUUCUUGUCUCCAAAUCCAACAAAUGCUGUUUUGUCACAAUACCUAAAAAUCGUAACCAAAAAAUUCUGGUUUUUAAAAUUAUUGCAAAUCUCUAUUAUUCGUUUUGUCCUCACUACCAUGUUUUCUUUCUCUUUGUCUCUUCUUUUUUCCACAUUACUAAUCAUCAUCAUCAUCUCUUUACUGUAUUUUUUCAGAUUCUAUGUAUCGGAAGUGAUUGUAGCUAUUGAGUAUCUUCACAUGUUGGGGAUUGUUUACCGCGAUUUAAAGCCAGAGAACGUUCUGGUUCGAUCAGAUGGUCAUAUCAUGUUAACCGAUUUUGAUCUCUCUUUAAAAUGUGACGAAUCGACUUCUACGCCACAGAUAGUACUGAACCGGAACAACCCUCCUAACGGCUCGUCUGAUCAGAACGAGAACCAAGGCAUGGACCAUCAUCAAACCACAUCAUCCUCUUGCAUGAUUCCUAACUGUAUCGUCCCUGCUGUCUCUUGCUUUCACCCGAGAAUCCGAAGGCGAAAGAAGAAAACUGAUCACCGUAACAACGGUCCUGAGCUUGUGGCCGAGCCAGUGGAUGUUCGGUCCAUGUCCUUUGUUGGAACGCAUGAGUACUUGGCUCCAGAGAUUGUUUCAGGUAUUCUUUAAAUCUACAUCAUUCUCAACUCCUCUGUUUUAUUAAUGUAACUUAACGAUAUGAAAUCUUAACAUUGAAAUGUAAAAUGUGGAUGGCAGGAGAAGGGCAUGGGAGUGCAGUGGACUGGUGGACACUAGGGAUAUUCAUGUUCGAGCUAUUCUACGGAACAACACCGUUCAAAGGGAUGGACCACGAGCUAACCCUUGCAAACAUCGUGGCUCGAGCUCUCGAAUUCCCAAAAGAGCCAACGAUUCCAAGCGCGGCCAAGGAUCUGAUCUCUCAGCUACUAGCCAAGGACCCGAGCCGACGGUUAGGGUCGUCUCUAGGUGCAACAGCCGUGAAACGCCACCCAUUUUUCCAAGGAGUGAAUUGGGCGUUGCUCAUGUGUACUCGUCCUCCUUUUCUUCCUCCGCCUUUUCGCAAAGACCUUUUGUCAGAUGACAUUUGUCCUGAAACCCAUGUAGACUAUUAUUAAUUAUCUUAAUUAGCACUACGUAAUUAAUUAAUUUUCUUCGGAUAUAAUUAUUUCCAAGAAACAACAUCUUCGUAAUAUAAUUAGCACUAGUAUAGUUUCAUUUUAUGAUAUAAAAAAAAAAACUUAUCACAAAUGCAUUUAAGAAAUGUGUAAUACAGUUACAUUUCAUGAAACAAAAACUUAGUACAAAUGCUUUUAUAUGUUUUUCUUUGUUUGUCAACUUAAAGAAGUUUAGAUAUUAUUCAUAAUAAUUCUGACACACAAAUAGAAACCAAGACAUGUAACACGUUAUUUGUGCUAUCCAUUUAAUUAUAAGUUUAUAACCAAUAAAAUUUUUAUUGUUGGAAAAAAAAAUUGAUACCAAAACAAGAAAUUUUAAAAGUUUUCCGAAAUUAUUACUCUCUCUGUUUCAUUGUUUUAUAUAUAAGAUACUUGUUCGAAAAAAUAUUUUUGGCUUAAUUUUUAUAAAACUCUUAGACCAAAAUUCAUAUUUCCAUAUUAUUUUAUGACCAUAUUAAUUCUAAUUCUUUAAUAUUUGUAUGAUUGGUUGAAUUAAUUUUCACUAUAUAUUAAAAUAGUAAAUUCUAAACUUGGCGACAAAAAAACAAUCAUACACCUAAAUAUGCAUUUCAGUCAUUUAUUGUUUACUGAGAUUUUGGUACAACUAACUAAAUGAGUUCCACAUUUAUGGAUCAUCACAAUUCACAACAUAAAGAAAAUUAUUGAUGUCUUUUUGAAUACUACUGCCAUUUUUUUUUGAAUUUAAAACAAGCAAAAAAAAUUUAAAAUUUAUUUUCCAAUAGAUGUGGAAAGAUAAAUGACGUAAUUGAAUGAAGAAGACCCACGUGCCUCAUUGAUGACAUAUAUAGAAGUUCACGUGCAUGGCUUUAUUGUAAUUGUACUUUUGGCUUAUCCUAAAACUUUACAAACCAAUCAUUGAUUCUUUCACCAAGUUCGACCGUCGUCAUGGGUAGGCCUUAGAUAAGUGUAGUCAUGGGAUUGGGUUCUUCUCUAAUGAGUUCAUUCAUAAUCAUAUAGUAGCUGCCUCGGUUUCGGACAAGUCUAGAAGAAAAAUAAUGUAUAUUAAAUAAACAUUUUUGUAAAGCAAACACAUAAUUUUACUUAUCAAUUUUUCGAUCUAAAAACUCAUAUAUAUUUUAGCUUUAAAUGUUAACAAUAGAAUAUAUGUUAACAUAGAUCGAUGUUAAUUAAAUACCACGAAAUUAUCUACAUGUUGUGCUCUUUGUUAAGUGUCACCAAGAACUUGAGGCUAAUAAUGUUCUAGUAGUUCUCUUAUGCACCUAACCUUGCUUUUUGUUUACGUACCUAGAACAUCGAUGAUGUUUUCCUUAGGGUCAUGUUUCACCUUUCUUUAAAAGGGUCGGACCCAAAUAACUGAGUAAAUCCAACUGAAAAGCUAGAAGGAAGAGUCACAUCGAUAUUAGGAUAUACUUGAAAUAUUGAGAUGUGGUAUGAUUCUAUCACAUAAAGAAAAUUUAUUAUGUAUGAAUACUCACUUUAUGUUAAUGAAUAAACCAAACUUUUCUAAAUGAUAUCAAUUAUCAAAGUUCUUUGAAUUUUCGGAAAUUUGCCUAGACAUACUAGCAUUUAUCUCUAUAAAGAUUCGAAGCAAUGAAUCAAUAAAAAGGAUUCGCAAUUUCCGUUAAAUCAUAAUACACAUCUAACUCGUCUAAAAGCAGUUAAUUUGGAGUCUUUACAGUUCAUCAAAUAGUUUAUUCGAUGAACUGUAAGCUCGUCUAAUCCACUUUCUGCUCGACUUUGGCCAUUUGUAGUAGUUUUAGCAAGCUCGACUUUGGAAAUUUUAAUUUCGUAACACAAUUUUGUAGUUUGCCAAAUCUCGAUUCAUCAGAAUAUGUUUCCUUUUUUUUCCGAAGAAACCACAACUUACUUAUUAGAUGUCAAACAGAAAGUUAGAUAUAUGGUCGAGUCUUUGCUUCCAAAAUUUAAAAUUUGUUGAAAACAAAUAAUUUAUAUUUUAACCUUCAUAAUUCGCUUGGUUCUCCAUUAACGUAGACAUGGCCAAAUAUAUUAAAACAAAACUUUGAAGAAAAAUCAAUAUAAUUUUUUUUCUUUUUCUAAAUGAUAGUUUAGUUAAAAGUCAAUACUUACAACAUGAUCGGUCGGUUCCAUAAACACGUAGCAAACAUGGAAACAGAAACAAACAAAAGGGGAACUAUAUAUAAGCUGGAUUUAUCACAUUAACACUUUUUCUUUUGUAUCUACAUUACAUUUAUGAGAUUCCAAUUCAACAUUUUUCCGAGUAAAAUUGUUUGGGUGUAGAUUUCGAUUUCAGAAUUUUCUAUAAAAAAUGCUUUACACAAUGGAACCAAUAAUUAUGUAGGUAACGUUUUAAUUGUUUCAUAUAUAUGUAUGUAGGGAGCAAUACACGUACUCUUUUGUUAAAUCAAUGAAUAGAAAGAAUCUGGUCUCUUGUCUUUGUAUAUGAGAAGAACUCAUCAAAUAGAGUUUCUCAUUGCUCUAAUAAUUAAUAGUGGAAUUAAUAUAAUAAUUAUUUAUAGAGAAGUCUAUUUAAGUUUCCUCAAAGAGGUUUACGGGUUUUGUCCGAAUCUUCAUGUAAAUGUCCUACUUCCCCGUGAUAUGUUUGGUAGGGGAGGGAGGCUAAUUAUGGAUUGAGUAUUAUGUAUAUUUCAUAAAAAUACAUCCAUUUACAAAAGCUUUCUGUAGAUGAUGCAUAUACAUAUGGCAGCCUCCGAACACUAAUUUGAUGUUUUCUGAGGACUCUCAAAUGUUUAAAGUAGUGAAGAUGAAUAUUAUAUAGACUAGGUUAAUCAGAAUUGACAUAUCGCGGAUAAACUAUUAUAUAAUAAUUAUUUUAAAGUAAUUCUCAUCAAUAAUAUCAAUUUAAUUUUUUAGUUCAAAAUUAGCACACACUUUCAAAUAUUUUAAAAUUAGCACACAUUUAUAUAUCAUUAAAACAAUGUUAAAACCGUGAGAAUUGGAGAGUUGGGGUUCUACUACCGAGGGAGAACACAUUGAGAAAAAAUUAGAGAAAUGUGAAUUAGGAAAGAGGUGUUCCAUUUAUUUUGUAAAUUUUUAAAAAUAUUUAAUAUUUUAUUUUACUAUUAGUUAUUUCUCACAAUAUUUUUUUAUAUAGUGGGAGAAUAUGCAAUAUUUUAUUUAAAAAAAGAAUUGUAAUGAUUCACCAAAUAAAACAAAGAUUUCAACGUUUAAUUAAAUAAAAUAAAAAUUGCAAUGGUUUUUUUAUCAAAUAAUUAAAUGGUAGCAACAAUUCACUUAAAUUUUUGUAAUUAAAUAUUAAAAAUAUAAUUUAGGAAGAGGUGUUUUUGAUACGGUAGCUUCUUCUGUAGCAAAGGCUACAACCUAUGGAAGUCUAAGUAAAUGCCCUUUUGGUUGAUAAAUGGACCUAUCCAGACUACUCCAUAUUACGUCGUUUCCUUUUGAUAACAUGCAUAUAAUCUAAUCCCAUGAGCAGAUUAAUGUCAUUAGUCACUGAAAAACGGAUCAGUACUUAAUAGUUAUGAGACCAACUCGCUACAAUUGUUUGAAAAGUGUGAAGUUGUAUUAAGUAGAAAUAAAGCAAAAAUUGAAAAAGUGCAACCAUCAUUAUCAAAUUCAUCUCCUACAGUAAAAUCUAACACACUUAAUAAGAUCAUAAGACAAAUAAUAAGCAUCAUAAGAUUCGCACCCAAAUUGUAUGUGCAAAAAUAUACCUAAGGUUGCAAUGGUAUAUUUGAUUAUGGGGUAUGACAAUAAAUCUAAACCUGUAAUGAUUCACUAAAUAAACUACAUGUUGCACGGUUUUUCAAAUAUACCUAAGGUUGCAAUGGGUCGUCAAAUAAACUAAAGUUUAGAAUCAUUCAAUUAGGUAGUUCGAUAUAUGAUAAGUAAAAGAGACUUAUUCAGAUAAUUAGCUAGACAUGCUCCAAUGAUUUUUUUGAAACCACAGUUUCUCGGAUUUAAAUACAUAUACAAAAGGGUCUAUGUAGACACACGGAAAGAGUUGGUAGUUAAAAGAAUACAAAUUAAUAACUAAAUAUUAUUUUUGUUAUUUAAAUAUAUGUAUUAUCUUAUACAUCGAAAAUUAUAAAACUUGAUGCUGUAAAUUAAAUUUAUAGCAAACAAUUAAACAUUUACAAGACCUUAAAAACUGUAUUUGUAAUGGUUAGUUAAUUGGAUACUUUAAAGUUUCAUGUGAUAAAUUGAAAUCAUUGCUUUUCUUUUAACAAUUGUGAUAAUUUCUGGAUUAGUAUGUCGAUACAAUUAAAAUGUCCAACACAUAUUAAAACGGUUCAUUUGUCGUUUGCAACAACAAUAGCAAAAUUCUUAAACUAAAGAAUUGAACUAGAUUGUGUAUCCGCGCGUUGCACGGGAUUUUAAUCUAAAACCUCUUCUAUCAAUAAUAAUCUUUGAGCAUAAUUAUAAUCAUUCAAAUUUUAGAAGAUAAAAGCUAUAUAAUUUAACACUAAACUAAUUUUUUAAGUGAUAUACAACAUAUAUAUUGUUGGCGAUAGUGUUUUACAAAUAUCAAUUGGGUUCGGCUCAUCAAUUUAUAUAUGGGCUUUUAAGGCCCAAUAAUCUCCUUCUCCUCCUCUCUUCUUUCUCUUUCUGAAAAUUCGAAGUUGCAGCAAUCUUUGCUUUCAAUCGACGAAGGAGUUUUGAGUUGAGAGGAAGAGAGAGUUAGGAAUCAAUGGAGGAAGUAUCGAAGAACGGUGGCACGGAGAGUCCGACUAAAGAACUGGCGGUGGUUGCAGUGCCGCCGUCGGAAGUGGAGGAGGAGGAGCCGUUGGUCGGACCUGGACCUGCUCCACGAGGAAAACGCAAGCGUCCGCUUCAGUUCGAGCAAGCUUAUCUUGAUUCGCUUCCUUCUGCUAAUAUGUAAGUAUGUCUUGUGCUUUGGAACUUUCUCUGUUACUUAUCAAUCUAGCCCAGUCAAGUUUUGGGGGUUUAGGGUUUUAGUUUCGACGAAUUGGUGCUUCUCCUCCGUAACCUAGUGUAAUUAAGCUUUUGAAUGAGCUCACAUUUCGAUGAAGAUCUCGAAUUAGUGUCAAUAGUUAAGUCCUAGUUAAUACAUUGGUGGUUCUUAUUACUGCUUCAAUUUGAGUUUUUUGGUGAGUCCUAGUUAAGCAUUGGUGGUUCUUAUGGCUGCUUCAACUUGAGCAGUUGAGCUUAUUGGUUUCUUAUUGUUUUUGGAAUUUAUGAGAUUUGUAUGCUUUGUAAUCUGUGAAUUGGUCUUGAACAGUGUGCUUGCAAGUUAUUAAACUCUUGUAUCUUUUGUUUUUUUUUCUCCAGGUAUGAGAAAAGUUAUAUGCAUCGCGAUGUAGUUACACAUGUUGCUGUUUCAGCUGCUGAUUUCUUUAUAAGUGGAAGCAUGGAUGGUAAUGUUUCUGAUCUCUAUUGAUAUUUAUGAGUUCAUUUUGGUUCUGUAAUGUCCAAGUAUAAAAUAAUAUCUGUUAUAGUCUCUUUCUCUCGAAUACUAAUGGAUUACAGUGAAGCAUUUCUAUAAAUUUGUUUUGUUUCAUAAUCUAGGUCACUUGAAAUUUUGGAAGAAAAAGGGAGUUGGUAUCGAGUUUGCUAAGCAUUUCCGCUCCCAUCUUGGUCCAAUUGAAGGUCUAGCGGUAAGUAUCGCCAGUGAUUUUUUAACGUGAGCUCUGUUUUUUAUAGAUUUAAGAUACUGUCACCUCAAAUCCAGGGCAUAUGCUCCAUCUUUGAUUGAAAGAUUAUUUUUUUAUUUUUUUAUUUAAUGAAUUAUGAUAGUUGACCACCUGGUAAGAACUUAUAGUUACAUGUUAUGGUUUCCACAGAUUUUGUGUUUGUUUCUAGUUCUGUUAUCAACCAUGACUCGUUUCAGCAAUGCAGGUUAGCAUUGAUGGUUUGCUUUGCUGUACAAUCUCAAAUGAUCAUGCUGUUAAAAUAUAUGAUGUUGUCAACUACGACAUGAUGGCUAUGAUUGCUUUGCCAUAUAUUCCUGGUGCUGUUGAGUGGGUCUACAAGCAAGGGGAUGUCAAAGCCAAACUUGCUGUUAGUGACCGAAACUCAUCGUUUGUGCACAUUUAUGAUCCCCGUUCUGGUUCCAACGAACCCAUUGCUUCUAGAGAGGUUUGCUUCAAUCUGUUUUCUUUUGUUGCUAUUUCUUGACUUAUCGUUUUUUAGCAAGCUAAAAAGCUUUUGUAUGCGCAGAUACAUAUGAAUCCAAUUAAGGUCAUGAAGUAUAAUCCUGUUGCGGACACAAUGAUCUCUGGUGACACAAAGGGAAUCAUUGAGUACUGGAGUCCAACGACAUUGCAGUUUCCGGAGGAUGAGUAUGUCCUUGUCUCACUUCUUAUCAUAAACGCUUUUAUUAUUUCCAUUUUGGUAUUGUUGUUUGUUAUCUAUUAGCUGUAGACAGUAGGGUAAGAGGAGCAUACCUGUUUCCUGUGAGUGGCUAAUGUAGUUAAAUAUCAUAUUACUGAGAAUGACGCAAAGAGCAGACGAUAGUAGAAAUACUUUAGUUGCCAACUUUUUAGUUGACCAUCUAUAGAAUCUAAGUAUGGUUGGGCUGCUUUCACCUAUGGUUCAGAGGUUGAACUUUUACUUGCUGUUGUAGGGUAAACUUUAAACUGAAGAGUGAUACGAAUCUCUUUGAGAUUGCAAAGUGCAAAACAACAAUCUCUGCCAUUGAGGUACUUAUGUUACAUUUAAGUAUCUUUAGUUUCUCUUUAUGUGCUUAAAAUGCAGAUAUAAGCAAUAGGUGAAAACCAUAGUGCAAGUUUUCGUCUCUAAAUUUAGUAAAAUUAUUUUCAGGUGAGUCCAGAUGGUAGGCAAUUUUCCGUUACGUCUCCUGAUCGUAGGAUUCGCGUGUUCUGGUUUAUAACUGGUAAACUGAGGCGGGUAUAUGAUGAGUCACUUGAGGUAAGAUUACAUACUCUAUAUUUCUAUGUUUCGUUCCUUACAUGUUUCUUCACAUUGAUAUUAAUAUCUAUUCCACUAUUAGGUGGCCCAAGAUCUGCAGAGGAGUGAUGCACCAUUAUACAGGCUUGAAGCAAUUGACUUUGGUAGAAGAAUGGCAGUUGAGAAAGACCUUGAAAAAACUGAGAGCGCUCCCCAGCCCAAUGCUGUUUUUGAUGAAAGCUCUAAUUUCCUUAUAUACGCCACUCUUCUUGGAAUAAAAGUAAGAAAUCCACUUUUUUUUUUUUUUAAAGUACCAUAGACUAGCAUAUCAGUCUAGACAAGAUAUGUAUCUUGUCUUACACGCACAUGAUACAAUUAACAAGCUUAAGGACCUGGGCCUUUCACCACCGGCUAGCCUUCACUUAGGUGAUUAAAGUAACCAAGAUUUAAUGAGGUUACUGAUAUUGUUACCAUAUAAUUAAGUGGUUAUGCACUCUGCCAAAAUAGUAAAUGUAGAGGAAAAGAAGUUUGAGAUCUUAUCGUAAAUUUGAGUGUCUAAGGGGGAGGAGCUCCUUUAACACAAAUCCUCAAUAUCGUUGUAUUUCCAGCAGAUUGUUAUGUACAAGCGGACCAGAUUCUCUAGUUUGAUUGUUAUGUACAAGCAACUGCUAAUUUUCUCUGUCUACCCUUUUGUUCUCUAGGUUAUAAAUUUACACAACAACACAGUUGCAAGGAUCCUUGGAAAGGUGGAGAGUAAUGAAAGGUAUCUGAGAGUUGCAUUAUAUCAAGGUGAUCAAGGAGGCAAGAAAGUUAGGAAGAUUCCAGCAGCUGCGGCAAAUGUAAAUGAAAGCAAGGAGCCUUUGACCGAUCCGACUAUCCUAUGCUGUGCCUUCAAGAAACACAGGAUCUAUAUGUUCAGGUAUGUGACUCGUAUUGUGCUAAAAUGUUGCGGGAGAAAGAAACAUCUAUUCCCACCUUUAGAUUCUUAUUUGUAGAAAUAUCUCCGAUUUUUUUAUCUAGAUAUCCCUAGAGAUACCGUGAUAUUGCCGAGGACUACUACAAAUUCAUUAUCAAAAAUUGGUUUUUGCAGUCGGAGAGAGCCAGAAGAACCUGAAGAUGCAAGCCAAGGGAGAGAUGUGUUCAACGAGAAGCCUGCUGCUGAUGAACUUAUGGCUGCCUCAGAUAUUGGAAACUCAGCCACAACAUUGCUUCCAGAGAAUGUGGUAUGUUUUCAUAAAACCCGAUGUUUGCAUCUAUAAUCAUUACAUAGUCUGUAAGCUGGAUCUUUAAAACAAUAAUUAUUUUAACUCCUAAUUAUCCAGAUCAUGCAUACUUCUUUGGGUGACAUUUACAUGAAGCUUUACCCAGAAGAAUGUCCCAAAACUGUGGAGAAUUUCACAACACACUGUCGAAAUGGCUAUUACGAUAACCACCUUUUCCACCGGGUUAUCAGAGGAUUUAUGGUUCAGACUGGAGAUCCUCUUGGGGAUGGUACUGGAGGACAGUCUAUAUGGGGCAGAGAAUUUGAAGACGAGUUUCACAAAAGGUAAACGUUUCUUACUGCCAUGCCUGCUUUGAGUUUAGCCAUCCUUUAGAAACAAAUGAAAAAUGUAACUUAGUUUGUGAUAUGUUGUUGUUCUUCUUCUUGGCUUUGCAGUCUACGGCAUGACAGACCUUUCACAUUGUCUAUGGCAAAUGCUGGCCCAAACACAAAUGGGUCUCAAUUCUUUAUCACAACGGUGGCUACACCGUGGCUAGACAAUAAGCACACUGUUUUUGGAAGAGUUGUGAAGGGAAUGGACGUCGUUCAGGUAUGAUUGACNNNNNNNNNNNNNNNNNNNNNNNNNNNNNNNNNNNNNNNNNNNNNNNNNNNNNNNNNNNNNNNNNNNNNNNNNNNNNNNNNNNNNNNNNNNNNNNNNNNNAAUAUUUUUACUUGUUGGCUAUAGUGUGGCUUUGUGUUUAACCGUAAAACCAAAUGAACAGGGUAUAGAGAAAGUGAAGACUGACAAGAACGACAGGCCUUACCAAGAUGUUAAGAUAGUUAACGUCACUGUUCCUAAAUCUUAGCUUUGCUCUUCUCUCAAAGAUUCUGAACAAUCGUUGCUGAUCCAUACCCCGUGAUUGGUUCCGUGCUGGGACGUUGGUCUUGCGGCUAAUCUGAACUUUGUCGUUAAUCUGAGAUGGAUCGAACUGUGGGAUAUGUUUGUUGUGCCCGAGCUGAUUUAAGAUGGUGGCAUCAUCUUCUUGAUAGUACUGAACAUAAUUAUUCUUAGUUUUGUCAAACAACUUUAUGCGAAUGCUUCAACUUCUAAUGUUACUUCAGUUCCCUAACUUAUCAAGUUUUCGGGGUUUAUGUCUCAAAAGACAA